rnacentral:misc_RNA from 1 species
GAUGAAGAACGUAGCGAAAUGCGAUACGUAAUGUGAAUUGCAGAAUUCAGUGAAUCAUCGAGUCUUUGAACGCACAUUGCGCCCCCUGGUAUUCCGGGGGGCAUGCCUGUCCGAGCGUCAUUGCUGCCCUCAAGCACGGCUUGUGUGUUGGGCCUCCGUCCUCCUCCCGGGGGACGCGCCCGAAAGGCAGCGGCGGCACCGCGUCCGGUCCUCGAGCGUAUGGGGCUUCGUCACCCGCUCUUGUAGGACCGGCCGGCGCUUGCCGACACAUCAAUCUUUUUUCCAGGUUGACCUCGGAUCAGGUAGGGAUACCCGCUGAACUUAAGCAUAUCAAUAGCGGAGGA